AAUUAAACCCAUUAUUGUUGCAUACAAUCGAUUCUGCUGGUUAAAAAUACGCUUUACAACAUUUGUGUUACGGCAUGUGGUGGCAGACGACCAAAUGCAGAGACCAGCAGGUACGGGGGGGGGGGAAACUUGUUUAUUGCCAGGGACACAGCUACGGAGACAGGGGGAAUGGCAGGGAAAUCCAGGCGGGAGAAUCCAGGCGGGAGAAUCCAGGCGGGGAACGACAGACAGACAGACUGGGGAACCGGGUCAGCGGAAAAACGGGCAGACAAACAAUCAACUUAUAUCGCUUGUCACACUCUUCAGAAGCGCAGCCAAGCUGCAAGUCGCUACCCAGGUAGGUUGGACUACGACGAGUGGAUGGAGAACCCGGGGUAGAUAAACUGCAGGGUGAUUUGUUGGUCACCUGAGCAGGUGAGGUGACUCCUCAUCAUCAGGUUGUCUGAAUCAGCUUCAGACUCGAGCCACGACCCCAUCACACCAUACAGCCCGGAGGCCUUAAUAAGACCAAACUAGGUGGUCUUGGCUAAUUAAAUGGUAGAACUAAAAGGCCAGAAGAAAGGUGAGCAUUAUAAAGUAAAGGGGAACACUCCUCAGUCAGAAUAAGGAAAGGUUUUUUUUCCCAUUCUGCAGUAAUUGUGGAGAUGAAACAGCGUCGCAAAGCACAUUUUGGCUGACAGUUUGCUUUGGAGUGAAUCCAGCUUGAGAAGAAUACCUUGAAAUGAACAACAAAAAAAAUUGCAAUAAAGUGAAAUUGAGGCAAGUAAAGAGUAACAGGAAUAACAACUUAACGUCAGCGGUGAUGGUUUCUCAUGUUAAUGUGGAGUUCUUCCCCAAGUGGCCAAGAACCUUAAAUGCAACCUCAAAAAGUCAACUAUUAAGUACAACCAUACAUGCUAUCAAAUAGCAAAUGAAUGUUCCUAUAAAUGCCUAAAUAAUAAAUACUGUGUGAAAGAAAUGGAAGAAUGACAAAUUCCGCUGUCCCUUUAAAAUAUGGACAUCCAGUAAAACAUAGCAAAGCGUUAGAAAAGUGAUCAUCAUUUCCUUUUAACAUGAUCUUUUAACUUGCUUGAGGUCCAUUUCUUUUUGUUAAAAGAAAUUUGUUUGGAAAACCCUUUUUGCUCAAUUGUGCAACAACCGCAAUUACAACACCUAACAAGAAAUUGUUUUUAGCAGCACUUAAUGUUUGCACUGGUUGUUCUGGGCUACCAUAUAAAUAAACCAUUUUGUGGUAUUUAAAUGGGUCCGUCUGUACACUUUAAGUCUCAUUUGAUCUUUUUUCAGCCUGCCUCCCCUGCCACUCACGCUGUCAGACCAGGCUUUUAAAACCUUUUUUAUCAGCCUUGUUUGGCUGUGUGCCUGCCCCACAGGUCGGCUGGCCACCAGAAAACUCCGGGCUCUCCAGAUGGCCGGUCCGCUUAUGAAAGCAACUUCCCAAACCCCUUUGAACAGCAGUGCAUGACACAUUUCUAGUGAUAUUUCGGAGCUUUGAUAUUUGGUGAUAUGUCCGUAGAUCCAUGGUACCGAGUGAUGGUUUUGUUUAAGUUGGUUUACUGUGGAAUUUCUUGACCAUCAAAACAAACCCAUGAAGUCUAUAUUUUUACACGAAGCUGUACCGACUCUUCCAAAUGGCCGACAACACUUUUCCCCAAAUCCAUGUGAAGUCACUUAUUUAGCAAAGCCCAAAGUGUGGGCAAGACAUACUGUAAGCCAGGACGUCUCUGGGCUCUUUGCUUCCUGUAAGCUGCCACACUAGUUCUUUAGAUCAAGGUGAAGUACCUUGAAAGCGUAAGAAUACUUUGACUUUGAAUAAAAUAAAUACUUUAAGACGGAUGAAAUACAGUAAAUAAAUCAGAUGAAUACUCCGGAGCCCACAGGUUGGCGGUUUGAACCGAUGUCACAAUGUCAGCCUAAUGU
ensembl:lncRNA